UACAGAGGGUGCAAGCGUUGCUCGGAAUUAUUGGGCGUAAAGCGCGUGUAGGCGGCUUUGCAAGUCGGGUGUGAAAUCCCUCAGCUUAACUGAGGAAGUGCGCCCGAAACUGCCGAGCUUGAGUACCGGAGAGGGUGGCGGAAUUCCCCAAGUAGAGGUGAAAUUCGUAGAUAUGGGGAGGAACACCGGUGGCGAAGGCGGCCACCUGGACGGAUACUGACGCUGAGACGCGAAAGCGUGGGGAGCAAACAGG
rnacentral:rRNA from 1 species